UACAGAGGGGGCCAGCGUUAUUCGGAAUUAUUGGGCGUAAAGGGCGCGUAGGCGGCCAUGCGUGUCUUCCGUGAAAUCCCUCGGCUUAACUGAGGACGUGCGGAAGAAACUGCAAGGCUUGAGUCCGGGAGAGGGGGGGUGGAAUUCCUGGUGUAGCGGUGAAAUGCGCAGAUAUCAGGAAGAACACCAAUGGCGAAGGCAGCUCUCUGGGACGGUACUGACGCUGAGACGCGAAAGCGUGGGGAGCGAACAGG
rnacentral:rRNA from 1 species